rnacentral:rRNA from 1 species
AUUGAACGCUGGCGGCAGGCCUAACACAUGCAAGUCGAACGAGUGGCGGACGGGUACGUAAUGUCUGGGAAACUGCCUGAUAGAGGGGGAUAACUCCUGGAAACGGUAGCUAAUACCGCAUACCAUCAGAUGUGCCCAGAUGGGAUUAGCUAGUUGGUGGGGUAACGUCUCACCAAGGCGACGAUCCCUAGCUGGUCUUAGAGGAUGACCGGCAACACUGGAACGGAGACAGGGUCCAGACUCGUACGGGAGGCAGCAGUGGGGAAUAUUGCACAAUGGGCGCAAGCCGGAUGCAGCCAGGCCGAGGGUAUGAAGAAGGCCUUCGGGUGGUAAAGUACUUUCAGCGGGGAGGCGUUACCCGCAGAAGAAGCACCGGCUAACUCCGUGCCAGCAGCCGCGGUAAUAC